CUUAAAGCUGGCAGAGGUUACACAUCAGCAGUAGCUCAGGCAGCCGUAACCCCAUAUGGUACAUAAUAAAAUCUAUUUAACAUUACAUUCACUAAGUGUUCAGUUCAGCAUCAAGGCACUUUCCUUGUUAAAUAUCCCCAUGUCUUACGACUACGCUUACCGAGAUGUACACGGUGACAUAACCUCAAGUACACCCUUACCCAUUCUGCCCCACAAACAGCACGUGGGGAGCAGACCGCCCACCACUGCGUGACACCGAACGAGUCCAGUCUGUUGAAAAGGCCACGGUGAGCCAAGCGGAUCCAUGAACGAAUGUGCUUUGCUGUGAAGAGCGGCCGCUGUGAGCGGUUCCACUGUUGGCAGUUCCAGAGGCGCAGCGCGGUCGGUGCAGGUCAGGGCAGGAGGAAGCCGCACUGCGGCCGGCCACGGGCAGCAGCGCCACGCACUCGUUCCUCGCCUGUCACCAAAGUGUGCUCCUGCAGCGCAUCCACGACGUCUCUGCCUGCGUCCACCACCGAGGCCGCCCCUGCACGCACACACCCCCGCCCCACGCUGCACGCCAUCAGUUAUUCGUUGCCCGCCCCACCGCGCUCUGGCCGUAGUCAUUAGAGUAGUCUGCAACAAGUCUGUGGCCUUGAUGUGUAUCCUCGCGCAUAGAGUCAGCGCUGCUCUGUCUUAUGAAUGGCUCAGAUUGCACAAGUGCUACAAAGGGAACGACAGAGGAAGCAGAUACACGCGUUCUAGCUUCAUCUUAACUAAUCCUUUCACUUUUAGGGAAGAGGAGCAGGAGUUGAUGAAUCAGCCGCAGGGUACGUGACUCUGCCCUUCUCCAGGCUCCUGCACCGGGCUCCCUGCAAUACGGAGGGCGGUGGUCGCCAACGGGCUGCUCCACCACAGGUCUCACAGUUUGUCCUUCAGAACUCGUCUGUAAAACAUCUGGCAGAGCAGCUUCCUGGGUAUUUUCUUCCAGCUCAAAGCCUAGAGGCUGUGAACUCUGGCCUGAGAUCUGCAGUUGUGCGAACCCAGCGAGAUCCUCCUCAUUAGCAGAAAUAAUCUGCUUUGCUCUUUCAAAGAAUGGCCUCUCUGUCUUGGUUUCAUCCUGACCACAAUGUUGUUUGAAAUAAUGCUGCCUUUGUGUCGUACUGUCACUCCCUCCAGCAUGAUCCUCUAAUCUCUCUUCUGAAUCCAGCAGAGGCUGAGUAGAUUCAGACCUUGAAAAGACUUGUACAGGUGUUUGAUCUCUGUAGCCAUUAAGUACUACAGUUGAAUACUGCACAGUGCUUGAGGUGUUUUGCGUAGUUUCACCUUCGUCACUAUCAGAGACACUUUGCCUAGGAGAAGACAUGCAUGAGGAUCCUCCAAUACCACUGCUGUGCCCUUCUGAAGUACUUUUUUCCUUUUUGAGCAAAUCAAAAGGU
rnacentral:lncRNA from 1 species